rnacentral:tRNA from 2 species
GCCCUCAUGGUGUAGUGGUAACACGAAGGUCUCAUACUUGAGUAUGAGGUUAUUUGAUAACCAGAAACUCGUAAUCCUCAGCUCCGAGUUCGAUUCUCGGUGAGGGCA